GAUGAACGCUGGCGGCGUGCCUAAUACAUGCAAGUCGAGCGAAUGGAUUAAGAGCUUGCUCUUAUGAAGUUAGCGGCGGACGGGUGAGUAACACGUGGGUAACCUGCCCAUAAGACUGGGAUAACUCCGGGAAACCGGGGCUAAUACCGGAUAACAUUUUGAACCGCAUGGUUCGAAAUUGAAAGGCGGCUUCGGCUGUCACUUAAGGAUGGACACGCGUCGCAUUAGCUAGUUGGUGAGGUAACGGCUCACCAAGGCAACGAUGCGUAGCCGACCUGAGAGGGUGAUCGGCCACACUGGGACUGAGACACGGCCCAGACUCCUACGGGAGGCAGCAGUAGGGAAUCUUCCGCAAUGGACGAAAGUCUGACGGAGCAACGCCGCGUGAGCGAUGAAGGCUUUCGGGUCGUAAAACUCUGUUGUUAGGGAAGAACAAGUGCUAGUUGAAUAAGCUGGCACCUUGACGGUACCUAACCAGAAAGCCACGGCUAACUACGUGCCAGCCGCCGCCGUAA
rnacentral:rRNA from 1 species